CCCGGUUCUCCACACCAUUCUUGCUUGAUCGUCGUUGCUCCUUACCCGGUUCACUCACACUCAUCCUCCGUUCAGUCGGCUGGGCUCAUCCUCUGGUCAUCUCCUCCCAGACUUCCCCCACAGCGUCCUCCCAGGUCCACCCCUCGCUUCCUCGGCCCCAGUGUUCUCCGGCUCCCUGGUCCCAGUCUCAUCGGUUUCCCUGUGCCAGUGUUUCCCCGGGAUCCACCUCUUCCAUCCACUCCAGUCCCUCAACCCCUUUUCCCUCAAACCUCAUUCGCUCUGACCGCUGCAUUUGGGUUCUCUGUCCCCACGCCACACCACCCGUAACAUAGCUCCAGUAAACAAGCUUUCAAAUGAUGA